AUACCAACUUUGGCUACUACAUUAAAGCUUUGAGAAGCAAGAAGAAGCUUGGUUAGUGUUCUGGAGUUGAAUAUGACUUGAUGUCAUGUGUAUGAGUGAGUAUAAAAACUAGAACCGCAACGGAUCUUAAAAGCCUAAAUAUUGUAUCCUUGUUAGAAGAUACAUAGACAAAGACUCAUACGGAAUUCGGCUAAACCAUCAAAGCUUUUAGAAGCAAGAAGAAGCUUGGUUAGUGUUUUGGAGUGAAAUAUAACUAGAUGUCAUGUGUAUGAGUGACUAUACCAAC
rnacentral:sRNA from 1 species